CAGUAGCCGCGGGAAUACGAAGGGUGCAAGCGUUAAUCGGAAUUACUGGGCGUAAAGCGCGCGUAGGUGGUUUGUUAAGUUGGAUGUGAAAUCCCCGGGCUCAACCUGGGAACUGCAUCCAAAACUGGCAAGCUAGAGUAUGGUAGAGGGUGGUGGAAUUUCCUGUGUAGCGGUGAAAUGCGUAGAUAUAGGAAGGAACACCAGUGGCGAAGGCGACCACCUGGACUGAUACUGACACUGAGGUGCGAAAGCGUGGGGAGCAAACAGGAUUAGAUACCCCCGUAGUCCCUGUCUCUUAUAC
rnacentral:rRNA from 1 species